rnacentral:rRNA from 1 species
UCUUUUAUUUUUAAGACCUUUUUCGGAAGGUAUGCUUAAAGAGGGGCUUGCGUCACAUUAGUUAGUUGGCAGGGUAAAGGCCUACCAAGACUAUGAUGUGUAGCUGGACUGAGAGGUUGAACAGCCACAUUGGGACUGAGACACGGCCCAAACUCCUACGGGAGGCAGCAGUAGGGAAUUUUCGGCAAUGGAGGAAACUCUGACCGAGCAACGCCGCGUGAACGAUGAAGUAUUUCGGUAUGUAAAGUUCUUUUAUUGAAGAAAAAAAAAUAGUGGAAAAACUAUCUUGACGAUAUUCAAUGAAUAAGCCCCGGCAAAUUAUGUGCCAGCAGCCGCGGUAAUACAUAGGGGGCGAGCGUUAUCCGGAAUUAUUGGGCGUAAAGGGUGCGUAGGCGGUUUAAUAAGUCUAUAGUUUAAUUUCAGUGCUUAACACUGUCCUGCUAUAGAAACUAUUAGACUAGAGUGAGAUAGAGGCAAGUGGAAUUCCAUGUGUAGCGGUAAAAUGCGUAAAUAUAUGGAGGAACACCAGAGGCGUAGGCGGCUUGCUGGGUCUUUACUGACGCUGAGGCACGAAAGCGUGGGGAGCAAACAGGAUUAGAUACCCUGGUAGUCCACGCCGUAAAGGAUGAGUACUAAGUGUCGGGAUUACUCGGUACUGAAGUUAACACAUUAAGUACUCCGCCUGAGUAGUACGUACGCAAGUAUGAAACUUANAGGAAUUGACGGGACUCCGCACAAGCGGGGGAUCAUGUUGUUUAAUUCGAAGAUACACAAAAAACCUUACCAGGUCUUGACAUACUCUGCAAAGCUAUAGCAAUAUAGUGGAGGUUAUCAGAGAUACAGGUGGUGCAUGGUUGUCGUCAGCUCGUGUCGUGAGAUGUUAGGUUAAGUCCUAAAACGAGCGCAACCCUUGUCAUUAGUUGCCAGCAUGUCAUGAUGGGCACUUUAAUGAGACUGCCAAUGAAAAAUUGGAGGAAGGUGAGGAUCACGUCAAAUCAUCAUGCCCCUUAUGAUCUGGGCUACAAACGUGAUACAAUGGCUGUUACAAAGAGUAGCUGAAACGCAAGUUUAUAGCCAAUCUCAUAAAAGCAGUCUCAGUUCGGAUUGAAGUCUGCAACUCGACUUCAUGAAGUGGAAUCGCUAGUAAUCGCGAAUCAGCAGCGCAGAAACCUAACUCAAAAA